rnacentral:rRNA from 1 species
GGACACGGACCAGACUCCUACGGGAGGCAGCAGUAAGGAAUAUUGGUCAAUGGGCGCAAGCCUGAACCAGCCAUGCCGCGUGCAGGAAGACGGCCCUACGGGUUGUAAACUGCUUUUAUACGGGAAUAAACCUCUCUACGUGUAGAGAGUUGAAUGUACUGUAAGAAUAAGGAUCGGCUAACUCCGUGCCAGCAGCCGCGGUAAUACGGAGGAUCCAAGCGUUAUCCGGAUUUAUUGGGUUUAAAGGGUGCGUAGGCGGCCUAUUAAGUCAGGGGUGAAAGACGGUAGCUUAACUAUCGCAGUGCCUUUGAUACUGAUGGGCUUGAAUAUACUUGAGGUAGGCGGAAUGUGACAAGUAGCGGUGAAAUGCAUAGAUAUGUCACAGAACACCAAUUGCGAAGGCAGCUUACUAAAGUAUGAUUGACGCUGAGGCACGAAAGCGUGGGGAUCAAACAGGAUUAGAUACCCUGGUAGUCCACGCCCUAAACGAUGAACACUCGAUGUUGGCGAUAUACGGUCAGCGUCUAAGCGAAAGCGUUAAGUGUUCCACCUGGGGAGUACGCCCGCAAGGGUGAAACUCAAAGGAAUUGACG